rnacentral:rRNA from 1 species
AUGACGUCAGAGGAGUCCCUAUGGGCACUAUACGAGCGCUGGUGUGAGCAUCACAAUGUGAGGCGCGACCUUGGUGACAAGGCCAUGCGCUUCAGCGUAUUCAAGGAGAACGCUCGCAUGAUCCACAAAUUCAACCAAGGUGACGCACCCUACAAGCUAAGCCUCAACCUCUUUGGUGACAUGACCAACGAAGAAGAGGUUGACCACAUGCACGGUCGCUGCUCUGACCGCGUGUCAGAUGGCGGGAAGCGACGCCAAGGCCGGUUCACACACGGUGCCGUUGCAGCGUGCAACGACUUCCUGAUGUUCGUAGAUUGGCGGAUGAUAGGGUAUGACGAACGUCCGCCGGCAGUGACAAACGUGAAGAUCCAGAGAGGGUGCGGACCUUGUUGGGCCUUUGCGGGGGCGGCGGCAGUGGAGGGCAUCAAUUCCAUAAGGACCAGGAGUCUGAAGUCGUUGUCCGUGCAGCAGCUCAUAGACUGUGACAAGAGAAGUUUUGGAUGUCGUAACGGCAGAGUGGCAUCGGCCUUCAAGUACAUUAUCGACAACGGCGGCAUCGCCACAGAGGCUGACUACCCAUACAUUGCCGGUGAGCAUGGCUAUUGCUUGGUGCCAAAAAGAAAGAACCCCGUUGUCACCAUCGACGACUUCAAAUGGGUGCCGAAUAAUGAUGAGGUGGCAUUGCUGCAGGCGGUGGCGGCCCAACCCGUCGUUGUGGUGGUUGACACAAGGAGCUUCCGACGUUAUGGAGGAGGUGUCUUUGUGGGUCCGUGUGGGACGAAUCAGACCCAUGGAAUGAUGGUGGUGGGCUAUGGCACCACCGAUGAGGAUGAUCCCAAGAAACGCAUAGAUUACUGGAUAAUAAAAAACUCAUGA